rnacentral:lncRNA from 1 species
GGUCGAUGUAAUCGACUUAAUCCAUUUGUCUGUCCUUGUUUGUCCCUUCUAUGUUUAGCCCCUUGUGGGUAAUAAAGAAACACAUAUGUAUAUAUAUAUAUAUAUAUAUAUCUUGUAGUAAGUGGAUAAUCAUAGGAUAUACUUACAUAUCAUUCCCUGUAUAAUAUACAUCAUAUUGUUUAUGAGGACCCAACUGUAUGUUGUAUAGACUCCUCACUCAUUGUAACAUAUAUAUCACCAUUUUGUUUUGAUAAUAAGGGCUUAACCAUAAAAUAUACACAUAGAUCGCUUACUGUAAUACUUAUUAUUAUAAUUAUUAUUUAUUAUACAUACAUAUUGUAAUCAGAAUACAAGGGAUUUAGAGUUCGAUCUAUCGGUUUUUAGUUUUUCUUAUUUAUUUAUUUUCUUCCAUUCUGUUUUAAAUUUUUAAAAAUGGAGGCGUUUCCAUGGAUCGAAAUCACUUGAAGAAAUCGAUUUGAAAUCAAAUUAAAACUGAAAUCAAAUUUCAAUAAAAGACAAUUUUCUUUUUUUUUUCUUCUAUUUAUUGAUUUAUUUUCCUUUCAAAUGACAUUAAAAUCACUUUUCUUUUCCUUGAUUACAAUUUAAUCAAGUUAAAAAAUCUUACACAGAAUUCUCUGAAACCGCAAAUAUGCACUUAGCUGCGUAUAUCAGCCACAAACUCACAUCAAUUACUCGUCAGCAUUUAUACACCAACUCUUCGAAUUCCUUUCUUAAUCUUAAUUUGAUCUCCACUACUUUUCUCUCUUACUCUCUCUUCCAUUCUCUUUCUCACUCUCUCUCUCUCUCCCUUCCUAUCUGUCUCUAACUCUCAUUAAUGAGUUCUUUUGAUCACCUCCCAUUACAGAAUAUUUAUUUAGUGGCAUUUAACAUUACGAAAAUAUUGAUUACAAAUAUUGGUCAUGAUAACAACUAUUACAGAAAUAACAACAACUGAAAAAAAAACCAAAUUUAUUAAUUAGAUUAUAAUAGUAAUAACGAAGACAAUGAUUAUGAUGACGAUGAUGAUGGUGACGAUGAUGAUGAUUGCUUCAUUUUUUAAAUAUUCGAGCGGAUUAUUGUUCUACUCCAAAAGACAUGUAAAUCUUUAUAGAACGAACAAUGAAAUAACUUUCAGAUAUUUUAUUAUAAACUGGAAAUAAUAAUAAUAAUAAUAAUAAUAAUAACAACAAUAAUAAUAAUAGUAAUAACAGCGAUCACGUGAUGAUAACAAUGUUGAGGACAACGAAAAUAAUGUUGAACUAACGAUACUAAUGAUUUAAUAAUGAACAUAAUAAAAAUAUAUUAAAUAUUGAACAAGAUGUGUUUUCAGAAAUCUCAUCUUAGUUCAACCUGUAAUUUUGUGUUCUUCUCUUACUUUAUUCAAAUAUACUCCCUGUCAGCAUUACACUCAUCCUUUUCACAAUUAAUACAAUAUGGAUUUCAAUCAUUUUUCUUACUGGAUUUGUUAUUCUGACUUCAUGUUUAUCGUAUCUGUUAGAGAGAUACAGACAAGCCUCUCGAGCUAAAUUAAACAGCAAAGGCAUUUUGAAAUCAUUUUAGAAAAGUUUCGAAAGUUUUAUUUCGCUGAAUAUUUUCAUGAGUAAAACUCACAAAAAAGCAAGGAAUUAUUAAUUCAUAGAGGUCUCCGAUAAAACCUUGUGAGUUCAUAGACUUAGAAAAUAUUUCGCGAUUUAGAACCAAAUACAUUCCUUAUAUAAAUUUUAAUAUAGCUCUAAAUAAAAAUUCACAUUUGUCUCUAUAUGCUUGGGCAUAUAUAUAUAUAUGUAGUGUUAGUUUGUAGAUAGAAUCAGUAAAAAUGCACUCGACUCAUCUAGGAAUAAAUAUCGUUUCAAUAAUACUAAGUUAUACAUGAGCUACUUCAAGUUUCAUGCUUCAUGGUGCACAAAUAGGACGGGCUUGUAAAGAGUUCACUGCACCAUUCGACAAUCGUUCUUGGUCAUGGCCGGAUCGAGUACGGGUACGUUAUACAUGCACGUCUGGUACCUGUAUUAUCCAAUCGUGAAAUUUGAAAUAACUCACCUUUCUGAACGAAAUACUCACAGCAUGCUGCAUGAUGAAAUAAAGCAUUCAGAUACGGAACCGGACGAAAGGAAAAUAUUUUUCAAGUCCUCUUAUAGUUUUGGAAACGCUGUUUUUAUGUUCCAACAGUUAAGAUUCGGUAAUGUUAAAGUUUAGUCUAGAGACAUGUGGGUCAUUUAUCACCUGAAUUGAAAUAUUUGAUAUUCUACAGAAA